rnacentral:tRNA from 1 species
UGGCUUAGAGGGUAAAGCAUCUGCUUGCAAUGCAGGAGACCCGGAUUCGAUCCCUGG